AGUGAACGCUGGCGGUAGGCCUAACACAUGCAAGUCGAACGGCAGCACAGUAAGAGUUUGCUCUUACGGGUGGCGAGUGGCGGACGGGUGAGGAAUACAUCGGAAUCUACUUUUUCGUGGGGGAUAACGUAGGGAAACUUACGCUAAUACCGCAUAUGACCUACGGGUGAAAGCAGGGGAUCUUCGGACCUUGCGCGAUUGAAUGAGCGGAUGUCGGAUUAGCUAGUUGGCGGGGUAAAGGCCCACCAAGGCGACGAUCCGUAGCUGGUCUGAGAGGAUGAUCAGCCACACUGGAACUGAGACACGGUCCAGACUCCUACGGGAGGCAGCAGUGGGGAAUAUUGGACAAUGGGCGCAAGCCUGAUCCAGCCAUACCGCGUGGGUGAAGAAGGCCUUCGGGUUGUAAAGCCCUUUUGUUGGGAAAGAAAAGCAGCAGGUUAAUACCCCGCUGUUCUGACGGUACCCAAAGAAUAAGCACCGGCUAACUUCGUG
rnacentral:rRNA from 1 species